AAUAACGGUGCGAUGUAAGUCUGGUUUACCGAAAAUUUAAACGGCGACCGUAGAAAUGGUCGCCGUUUAAAUUUUCGGUAAACCAGACUUACAUCGCACCGUUAU
rnacentral:pre_miRNA from 1 species